rnacentral:tRNA from 1 species
UAUAUUUUAGUGUAUGAAGCACAUAAGAUUUUGAUUCUUUUAGAGAUGGUUUAAUUCCAUUAGAUAUAA